rnacentral:rRNA from 1 species
AUUGAACGCUGGCGGCAUGCCUUACACAUGCAAGUCGAACGGUAACAGGUCUUCGGAUGCUGACGAGUGGCGAACGGGUGAGUAAUACAUCGGAACGUGCCCGAUCGUGGGGGAUAACGAAGCGAAAGCUUUGCUAAUACCGCAUACGAUCUACGGAUGAAAGCAGGGGACCGCAAGGCCUUGCGCGAACGGAGCGGCCGAUGGCAGAUUAGGUAGUUGGUGGGAUAAAAGCUUACCAGGCCGACGAUCUGUAGCUGGUCUGAGAGGACGAUCAGCCACACUGGGACUGAGACACGGCCCAGACUCCUACGGGAGGCAGCAGUGGGGAAUUUGGACAAUGGGCGAAAGCCUGAUCCAGCAAUGCCGCGUGCAGGAUGAAGGCCUUCGGGUUGUAAACUGCUUUUGUACGGAACGAAAAGCCCUGGGUUAAUACCCUGGGGUCAUGACGGUACCGUAAGAAUAAGCACCGGCUAACUACGUGCCAGCCGCCGUAGUAA